rnacentral:lncRNA from 1 species
GACGACGCCGGCGCGAGGUCCUGGAGGCAAACCCUGGCUGAGCUUGGUCGUAGUGGUCGACCAAUGGAGCAAGGUACCUCGCCCCCUGCCUCAUCUCUUCCUUACCUCCCUCCCUGCAGGUGGCUAGCCGACGACUAAACAUUCAAUUAUUUCUGUUCUAGUGGGCACAAAAAUUGAAGGUAAGCCACCAUUGAGAUCUAGGGUCCCUGAAAUUUUCUGAUCACGAUGAUUACUGUCAGCUCUUGUCCAAAUGAAGCACAUCGUCCAGGGAUAGGACAACACCAAAAAUUUAUUGGAUUCAGACGUGUAAUCUCUGAUUCUUCCCAUGUAGAUGUUGGGGAGGAUGGUCCUUCCGUUGUUGAACAAUUAUAAACUAUGUAGUGUGAUCUUCCCACGUAGUGCAAUCUCUGAAUCUCUGAAUAAUGUUGGUUGAUGAUAUAAGAUGGUAAUCUACGUUGAACAAUGAUGCUAGUCUGAAGGAGAAAAUUCUGUUAAGUAGACAAUGACUCAAACAUGCCCUUUUCCAAGUGUGGCUAUUUAUUUUGUGAGGUACUCAAGUUACAAUGUUCAAUUUCCCAGCUUACAACAAAUUCUGCUAGUGAUUACAGUUUACUUACCAUGAAGCCUGACCAGUGCAUCUAUAUCCUUCAUAUCAUAAAUUUUUAAGUCAUGCUUUCUACAAAUUUUAGUGAUCAAGGAUAAUAAGACUGGACCAUGAAAGUGGCUAGAGAGCAAAUGAAAUCUUGUCAGGAUGUCCUUUAAUAGAGUUGGACUUCAGUACGAAUGUCCUUUAAUGUUGUUUGCUGUUAUGAGGGAAUGUAGAUCUAUCUUUCGUUCAAAAUAUCUACUCCUAUGAGAAAAUACAUGCAAUGGUGCAAGUUGUGGUUAAUGUACGCUGCAAAUAACUGAAAGAACUCCUCUAAUCAAUAAUGUGGGAUCAGUGUGGUCAUCAAUGGGGCUUUAACUGCACUUGUGCAGAUCCGUGGGCCAUACUCAUCUAUUAUCCAUGGAAUACGACCAAUAUACGUUUUGGCAGUGUAAAUACAACACGAAUCACGAAGAAAUGAAUGGUGUGGAUACCAUCCUCGCGUGGCACCAUGUCCACUCGUGAUUUAUCGCUCCUAUUCAUUCUUAUUUAGUGGAACUUAAUAGAGUUGGACUUCUGGGAUUUAUAAGGUUGCAAGUGUCUUUUUAUUCUAGCAAAGUUGCUGCCUCAUUUAUUUAGGAAAAAUGUUACUAAUACUUUUGACCAAAAGAAGUAGGACUAAUGUUUGCUCACAUGGUCUCCUAUGAACAGUGAUUGUGGACGUCCACGAUGGAAGUUGCGGUGCACGGACUUGUUUCAACGGCGGCAUUUUGAGGUCAUGUACAUAUGAAGAUUGGAAAUACUGUUGGUGAGGUGGAGCUGAUCUGAAUUGGAUGUGUUUGGGAUCAUACCAGGUUGCCCUGCUGCUAUCUCUGCACAGACGGGCGAGCGAGACCGCAGUUUCUUGUUCUUGCAGCAGAUGCAUUCUUGUUGGGUCAUUUCUUCUGACUAUAGUGAAUGCCUAAUCUUGUGGUUAUAUGAGCGGCAUUGUUUGAAUGAACUAGGCCAUGUGGUGUUCCACCCCUGUAGCUUGAUUGCAUUCUUCAAACGUGGCAAAGUAAUGAGUUGCAUUUUUAUUUGUGGGUUUAUUUGUGUGCGUUGGGGGUUGUAUUGCUUGCCUUGCGGUUUACAGAAAUUUAGACGGGCGCAUGGCCUUGUUAGGCGAUGUAUUGCUGGGGCUCCUGAAGAUUGAUAAAGCUGGGGCUGCUAGAUUGCACGCCUAUUCUUGUCAUUGCCUCGUUAUACAGUGAGAUCACCAUCGUGCUUUACAAAGAAUAAUGUUUGGUGGGUAAGUACAGUCAUGUCAUAGAUUCGAUCCCUGUUCUUCGAAAGAAAAACAUUCCAAAAAGUGGUCAACUUGUCUCAAACCGAGGACCACACGAUAGAAGUGCAGAUUGUUGCCAGUGCGAUAUAAG